rnacentral:rRNA from 1 species
UCGAGAAUUUUUCACAAUGGGCGCAAGCCUGAUGGAGCGACGCCGCGUGGGGGAUGAAGGGUUUCGAUCCGUAAACCCCUGUCAUUUGCGAACAAACCUUGAUUGUGAAUAGCGAUCGAGCUGAUUGUAGCGGAAGAGGAAGGGACGGCUAACUCUGUGCCAGCAGCCGCGGUGAUACAGAGGUCCCAAGCGUUGUUCGGAUUCACUGGGCGUAAAGGGUGCGUAGGUGGUCGGUGAAGUUCGGUGUGAAAGCUCGGAGCUCAACUCCGAAACGGCAGUGAAAACUCAGCGGCUGGAGGGUCGGAGGGGAGACUGGAAUUCUCGGUGUAGCAGUGAAAUGCGUAGAUAUCGAGAGGAACACCAGCGGCGAAGGCGAGUCUCUGGACGACUCCUGACACUGAGGCACGAAAGCCAGGGGAGCAAACAG